AACGCAAUUUCUCUUCACAAGGACAACACUCCCGAGAGAACGGGCAGCAGAGAGAAUGAGAGAAGAGGAGAGGAGAUCCGAAAGAAAAUGUUUGCUGGUAUUGCGGACAGAAAGGACAUUUGAAAACCCAAUGUUUCCAUUUCCUGAAAACUCAAGGGACACCGGAAUCCCAAGGGGGCGCGGGAAACCUGCCACUGUGUAAAGAAAGGGGCGACUGAAGCCAGGAGGGGGAAGGGGAGCAUCGUACAGAGGCGGGUAAGUCCAAUCUUGUUUUUUCUGCGGUUCAAAUGCCAUAUUAUCUGCUUGCUGAUUCUGAUUUUUCUGAUGUGUAUGAUAGGGAAAGACACGCUCUGUGCAAUGAAGAACUUGCUUUGCUUGAUAUUGAUAAGAAAUAAUGGUUGAGGGACAGGUAUUGUUGUUUAUGGUAGACUCUGGAUGCAACUGACUCUGUCAUAUGCAAAGAUGAAUUCCCAUUUGUCACCUUGAGUGGGCAGUUUAACUCAUCUACUGUAUGAGUGCUACGGGGCAUAUAGUGAGGGAAGAAUUUACUGCUCCACUCUGUUGUAUGCAUGACGGUAACGAGUUUAUGCAUAUGUUCCUCUUAUCUGACGCGUGUCCGGUAAACCUCAUGGGGAGGGAUUUGAUGUGUAAAAUUAAUGCUAGCAUCUUAUGUAACAACCAAGGCCUGAAUAUUUCUUGUUGGGAUCCCAGAAUGUCAUCUAUGUGUGUGUCUCUCUGUUGUAUGUGUAUGAAUGGGCCUGUCAGAGAGAAGAGUUGCAUGUUGAAAGGGAAGAUAAGAUUGCCACAAGCCAGCGAGGUCAUUCCAGCUGAUAACAUGCAUUGCACAGCUCAUAGAAAUGGUUCUCUGUAAAAAUAGAAGGUUUGACUAUAACCCAUAUAUGCUGGAAUGAUUCAUGGUGUGUGGCACUCGUUCAAAUUGACAGAAAAGCAAGAACAAAUUUUUGAUGUUGAAAAUUCGGCACCCCAUGUUUCUAUUGCAAAAAAUACCAGUCAGCCAUGGGAAAAAGCAGGUGAAUUUGCAAAGGCCUGUAGCGAGGCUGUUGAUUGGGAAAUGUUGUCAGAAAACGUGCAGUUCUCAGUGCAGAUAACAGCACACAGGAGAAGUUGUGUUUCUUUUUUUCAUUGCUGAGAGAGAGAGAGUUAUAAUACAGAAAGCUGUUUCUGCAGAUUCAAAUUUACAAAACAUUUUGCCAGCACACAUGACGUGUGCUAGCAUUGAUUUACCGCAAGAGGUUCUUGACAAAGUACCUGACUACCUGUGGGCUAAAGAUAAAUAUGAUGUGGGUUUGAUUAAAGGGUGUGAACCAGUAGUUAUCACCCCAAAGAGUGAUUACAGACCAUGUAAACCUCAAUACCCUCUGAAAAGGGAGGCGCUUGAGGGAAUAAGGCCAGUAUUUGAGGCCUUAUUGGAGAAAGGGAUAAUUGUUCCCUGCCCAAACUCACCUGUGAGAACACCCAUUUUUCCUGUACAAAAGGUCAGAGAUGCAGGUCAGCCCACAGAGUGGAGGUUUGUUCAAGACCUCCAAGCAGUAAAUGCUGCGGGGCGGGUAAGGGCACCAAACGUGCCGAACCCUUACACAAUUCUCUCACAGAUACCAGCUGACGGUCAGUGGUUUUCUGUAGUGGAUAUUUCAAAUGCAUCUUUCAGUGUUUCCUGUCCAUCCUGAUAGCCAGUUUUCGCUUACUUUUACAUUUGAGGGGUACAGCGAGAGCCCCACGAUUUACAACUUUGCAUUGCAUUGUUCAUUACAGAAACUUGUGUUGGAUGAUGAUGUUGCUUUAUUGCAGUACGUGGAUGACCUCUUGGUGGCGGCACCGACUCAGCAGUCGUGCACAGACAACACCAUACGGCUGCUCACUCAUCUAGCUGAGGAGGGCCACAAGGUCAACCCCAAGAAGGUACAGUGCUCUGUCCAGAAAGUAACCUUUCUAGGACACGAAAUUACACCAAUGGGUAAGUCUCUCUCUCCAAAGAGAAUAGAGGCGAUAGCUAACGUACCAAAACCCAUUACAAAGAAACAAGUAAUGUCAUUUUUGGGUAUGACAUCUUAUUGCAGGACUUUUAUUGCUAACUAUUCUGAGAUGCAACAACCAUUGCAUGACAUGAUUUAUGAGAAACCUUUGGCACCAUCAGAGAAGGUAAAGUGGACAGAGAAGGCUGAAAGGGCAUUUGUGGAACUAAAACAGACAUUACAGCAGGCACCCACUUUGGGGCUGCCAGAUCAAAAAAAAAUCCUUUUAUUCAAACUGUGGAUGAAAGAAAUGGCUGUAUGACAUCUGUUUUGUUGCAAGAACACGGUGACAAGUUGAGACCAGUUGCAUAUUUUUCAGGUCGUCUUGAUGCGGUGGCCAGGGGCCUACCGGGAUGUCUCAGGGCAGUGGCAGCUGCAGAGAAAGCUGUACAAGCCAGCAGUGAGUUUGUGGGAUACACACAGCUGCGUCUGUUGGUUUCCUCACUAUGUGUCUCAUAUACUGCUCGAACAGCGCACAUCUCACUUGUCUGCAGCAAGAUGGCUGCGUUAUUCCUGUGCAUUGUUACAAAUGUCUAAUGUCACAGUUGAAAGAUGUACAGUGCUAAACCCGGCGACAUUGUUACCUACACCUGAUGAAGGUACACCACAUUGUUGUUUUGUCUGCUCUACGGGAAGUAUGUACACCAAGGCCUGACCUGGCUGACACACCCAUACCAAAUUGCACCCUCACAUACUAUGUGGAUGGGUCCUCUUCCAGAGAUGACAGAGGUAUAAACAGGGUGGGGUGGGCAGUUGUGUCUGACUUUGAAGUUGUAGAAUCCGGAUGCUUACCACCUCACGCAAAGGUGGCUGAAUUGCAUGCACUAACACAAGCUUGUAAAAUUGCUACUAAUCAAUCUAUAACCAUUUACAUUGACUGCUUGUUUCUCUUUUAGAGGAAAUUUUACUCCUUUCUCAAAUAGCUGUGUGUAAACGCAAAGCACACACCAAGGAACAGGACGUGGUAUCCAGAGGCAAUGCACGCGCAGACGCAGAGGCAAUGCACGCGCAGACGCAGCGGCAAAGCAAGCAUCUCUCAUUUCUACUAACGUUGAUUUUUCUCUUACACAGAUUUCCCAGGAAAAGGAAGCUGAAACAGCACAGGAGUCACUAAUAAGCAUGCAAACAUUUUCUCUCCCAACAGAAAUAGCUCUAUGGAAAUCGUGUGGAGCUACCAAAACUCCUGAAGGGAUUUGGAUGGGUCCAAAUCAAAAACCUUGCUUACCUAAACACUUUUAUUCCCAUUUUGCUAGGUUGACACAUGGCUUAGACCAUGUGUCCAAAGGAGGAAUGCUGACAGCCAGGGCACAGAAUUGGUUCACAAAGGGUUUUUCUCCUGUAGCACAGAGACAUUGUGAAAACUGUCAUAUAUGUCUGGGUAAUAAUGUUGCAAGAGGGGUAAAAACCGCACCUGUGGGGCAUCCCAUUUCCUGAGGGACCAUUCACACAUGUAAUGAUGGAUUACAUUGAAUUGACACCAGCAGAAGGUAAACGUUACUGUUUGGUGAUGACAGACAUGUUUUCAAAGUGGACUGAAGCCACGCCCACCAAACAUGCAGACAGUGCUGGGGUGACAAAAAUGCUGUUGAAAGACAUUAUUCCCCGAUGGGGAAUCCCAAACAAAAUUUCCAGUGAUAAUGGAGCACACUUCACUGCUCAGGUGGUGAAAGAUGUGGGUACAUUUUUGCAAAUCAAUUUGACCAAUCACUGUGCCUACCAUCCACAAAGUGGAGGUGCAGUGGAAAAAGAGAAUGGCACCAUCAAGGCAAAACUAAGCAAAAUGUGUGAAGAAACAAAAUUGAAUUGGGUUCAGUGCUUACCACUGGUACUCAUGUACAUGAGAAUGAGGGUCAGAGACCGAACAAAAUUGUCCCCAUUUGAAAUACUUUUUGGUAGACCACCACAUAAGGGGUGGGAGCCACACAGGGCGACAGGUGAUACCCUUCGAAAUGAAAAUGACAUGUUGCAGUAUUGUAUUUCUAUGCCUUCUAUCCUUCAAAAUAUCUCAAAACAGGUUAAAGCAGCACUACCACGCCCCGCAAAGGGACCUUUGCACAACAUCAAACCAGGAGAUUUCGGGUUGGUGAAAAACCUGAGGAGGAAAUCCUGGAAGGCGAGACGGUGGGAGGGGCCAUUUCAGGUUCUGCUGACGACCCACACCGCCGUGAAGGUCGCACAGCGUGCCACCUGGGUGCACGCUGCCCAUUGCCGGAGGGUUGGUCCGGGACUGCAAGUUGUGAACCAAAGGGAGGACGACUAGUGGAAUGCUACUGACCACUUUUCCGCAUUGGAGGGAGCCACAGACCCCUGUAUUCUGCAAGUUUGUACGAAGAACGACACGAGAGAACGGCAACAGCUCACAAGGUAUUGGAGGACGACUCCAGUAUUCUGGGUUUGGUUUGGACACACGCACACGACAUCUUUAAUCAGGAUAGCUUGGCACGACUGCACCGUGUGGUCCUACCAAACCCGAACCUACAAAGGAAAUUAAUCAACAAGGGCUCACGACCCCAACUCUAACUGUGCUCAGGGCUCAUGACCCCAACUCUAACUGUGCUCAGGGCUCACGACCCCAACUCUAACUGUGCUCAAUCCGGAAUCAUCAAGGGCUCACGACCCCAACUCUAACUGUGCUCAAUUUCUUCAAGAAAACUAACUAUUUUUCUUCUUUCAAAAAUGAGGUUCAUGAUCAUAUUAUGUGUGUGCAUUUUUGCUUUUACAACUGCACAGAACUCUAUGUACACUAUAGUUAAGGGUAAUAACUAGAGCUACGUAACGAUGACAGUAAAUGAAGUUAUGAAUAAAUCAUAAAAAGGGAGGAGUGUAGUGGAGGACUUUUAUUAUGCUUUUAUUUUCAUAUUAUUCAUCCUAUUUUUCAUUUUUUAAUUACAAUCAUAAGCUCAUAAAUUGUGAUUCAUAUGAAGAUCAUGUUUUUCUGCUAACGUACAGAAUUAUGCUCUUUCUGUCUUUUGAGCAAAGUACAAUGUCCAAGGACUUAAACAUCAUGUACUGAGAACAAGACAUACGUUUUAUGAUUUUACUAGAUUUGUGUUUAACUGUUUAUGUUCUUAAUCACUGACAGCUGAAGGCUAUCUUCUAAAUGACGUAGAAACGGAUGAUUGUACGUAUUUCAGCAUCUUACUAUAAAUGUGUGUUCAACCUUGUGAUCGGGGCUCUUGGGUUUAGACUUCUAGCACCAGGGAGUGAGAGCCUAUUCUGCAGAAUAUAUAAAAUUCAGACAAAGAAAAUUC